rnacentral:rRNA from 1 species
UACAGAGGGGGCAAGCGUUAUUCGGAAUUAUUGGGCGUAAAGGGCGCGUAGGCGGCUUUGCAAGUGACGGGUGAAAGCCCUCGGCUUAACCGAGGAACUGCCUGUCAGACUGUAAGGCUUGAGACCGGGAGAGGUGAGUGGAAUUCCCAGUGUAGCGGUGAAAUGCGUAGAUAUCAGGAGGAACACCGGUGGCGAAGGCGGCCCUCUGGACGGAUACUGACGCUGAGGCGCGAAAGCGUGGGGAUCAAACAGG